rnacentral:lncRNA from 1 species
GCCCUUUUUUACCCCAAAAUGUCCAUUAAUUGCCCCAAAAUUGCCCUUUAUUACCCCAAAACGGCCCUUUAUUACCCCAAACUGACCAUUUAUUACCCAAAACAGCCCUUUUUUACCCCAAAAUGGCUUUUAUUAUUGCCCCAAAAUGGCCUUUUAUUACCCCAAAUCAACCCCAAAACAGCCUUUAUUUACCCCAAAACAACCUUUUAUUGCCCCAAAACUGCCUUUAUUGCCCCCAAACGACCCUUUAUUACCCCAAAAUGGCCCUUUUUUACCCCAAAAUGUCCAUUAAUUGCCCCCAAAUUGCCCUUUUUUACCCCAAAUGUCCAUUAAUUGCCCCAAAAUUGCCCUUUUUUACCCCAAACUGUCCUUUAAUUGCCCCAAAAUUGCCCUUUUUUACCCCAAACUGUCCAUUAAUUGCCCCAAAAUGGCCCUUUUUUACCCCAAACUGUCCAUUAAUUGCCCCAAAAUUGCCCUUUUUUACCCCAAAACGCCCCAUUUCCCCCCAUUCCCGCGGGGGUCCUCAGCCCCCCCCCACUCCUUUAAGGGGUUUCGGGGGGGGGCGUCACACUGCGGGUAUAGGGGGGUAA